GCGCAAUUAAUAGCACGACACAACGAACUACCCCGCUAUGGUUUGUCUUAAAAUUAAGUUGAAUGAUAUCCGGUCACUAUGACUCAACAAUAUGUACAACGUUUUUGUUUGCUGUUCACUAAAUCCCUAGAAAAGAGUCAGCUACGUUUGCUCUGUAGCGUUGGUAAAACGAAAUGUGGGGCCUGGGAGCCUAUGUCUGCGACAAGAAUGCUUUAGCCACCGUAAUCAGGCUCAAUAACCGAACUUGUUCGUCAUCUUCCUUCAGUUUUAGGCCCGCGUGAAGCGCUCUUGUGGAACUGCACACUUACAGAUAUCCCUGUGUAAUCUAUGCUUGUAUGUAAGAGCGGAUAUCCAACUGACGUUGCCCGACUUGAUCAUUUAGUGUGGUUUUAAAGUACUGAUUCCAAAGGCUCUAAAUUACUAAUGAUCGGCCUGAACAGGAAAAGCAAGCCCCGCAUCUUUCUUUCCAAAGAGACAAUAAUAACCUACUGGCCGACGUAAUACUUCGAGGGCAAUUGUGGUUCCAUAUGAGUCGCGUAGGUGAGCUUGUAGACCGACACUACUUUGCUAUGCUGAUGCACGCAAUGAAAUAAACAAAAUAAUGAAUUCCAUAAAAACACAGACGGAAAUGAAAAAGCUGUGUGUUGCAAGAGUUAACGCUGGUGCCAGCUCGGAAAGGUUAAACCAUUCGAUGGCAGCGCAUACAACGUUUGCAGAAACAAUCCACAGGUUAGUAUUUGCUCUCUUACCGUUCGUACGCUGCUGCUUCUGCUGCUGCUGCUGCUACCAUGCCUUUAUGAUUAUUUUCGACGUUUGCGUUUGACUUCCGUGUCUCUGUUGUGUACCACGUCGUCCCAUCAGCGAUGACGUUGCUGAAGCGAGGGCGAAACGAGUUAUUUCGCAACGUGAAGACGCGGCUGGACGGUGAAAAUACAAUGCCUCAGGCUGACGACGAAGGUGUCUAGCCGUCUGGAGUGUGUGUGUGUAUGUAUGUGCGCGUAUGUGAUGAGUCUUAUACUGUGUGAGGUAAGCGUUUGUGCAGAACGGCUCAGAGCUAUGCGGAGACGCGUGGAGCCCCAGAGGGGCCCCACGUGGAUUGGGAUCAGAUAAUGGUCGCUUGGCGUAGAAAGAAAAGCGCGCAGUGUGAGCCAGGAAAUUGCUGCUGGCCGAUGUACAAUGCCCUUGCCGUUCAACGUUCGUUCGGCGUUCUUGGUCCUUUGAGGAAUAAUGUCACACUUCGUAGCUAGUGGUCCUAACCCAAACACUUGUAGCCGCACACUGAGGACAAGCAGCAGAGGAUAAUGCAAUGAACAUAAAAUAGGUUUAUGGCAAGAGAAGGUUUUAUCAAGACUGAGAACAGAGAAGCGGCUAUCUAUGUG